CCCAGCCCUUUGAUGGAGCUGGAAAAGGUGGAGUCAUCCCCCGCUGCCCCGAGCUAGUCGCCUGAUAUGGACGUAAUCAUCAUCAACAAAUAUCGAUGACGGAGCCAUUUGGAAAAGAGGACGAAAUCUGGACUAUAUCCAUAGAGAACUGCAGCAAACACUAGAGAUAAUCAUGGCCUGCUGUGUCUAUGUGAUGUACCACUUCCCUCUCAGCCACUGCAACAAGAGGAUGUCCAUCCUGAC